rnacentral:ncRNA from 1 species
UUACGACAAUGGCAAACCUUGUGAAAGCGGGGGGCGCAAAGCCAGGGGCCUAACGGGGAAAUCCUCUAUGGUAGCCGGUUAUCGAA